ensembl:lncRNA
AGAUAACUGAGUCUGAUGACCAGGCUACAGUGUGCAAUUCCCCAAGUCAACUCUUACAAAAGCGCUAUUCCCCGCUUGCAGAGUAAAAACACUGUGAUUUUUGGAGUAGGGGGUUCGUUCUCUGUUGAUUCCGUGUAGAGAGGUAGCAAGAAGAAAAACCAAGAGGAUUUCGCUCUUAAUGAAUGGAAAUACGGAUCGGCGCUGUACACGCAGCCAGAGUAAAGAGGCUGAGAUCGAAUGGAAGGAAAUAAGAAAUAAGUGGGGAUAGCUCAAGAUAAGGCAAAGCCAAGGGGGCACGCGAACCGGAGACGAAGCAAAACCGCUGCAAUUGACGAUCAACGGAUUACAACAUUAUUCCCGUUGCUGGCGAGUAAACUAUUUUCUAGAGGGAAUUGAUGGUGUCUUUACAGAGCAGAACAGACUUUGAAGAGGUGAUUUUGAAUGCACUCGGCUGAAUCAUGCUGAGUUUGUGGUUAAUAACUUUGGCUAUCAGUUUUAACAAAGACGAACCCUGCUGCUGUUGACCUUGACACCAGCGUUGGUAGUACAGAGCCUGUAGACUCAUUGGAUGAAAGCUUUCAGCCUGGAAUAAACUCAAUCAUCUGACUUUGAAACAAGCCAGAACAGCAAAAGGAGACUUUAAGCACAAACAAAUAAUCUGCAAGAGGUCGAAGCAUUGGGUGGUAAAGAAAGGGUACGAGAGGCUUGUCCACCUGGCUGUGGCGUGCAGAAAAGACCUGCCGGUUGUCUACAAGGAGCCUGAAUUAUAGCUCCCCAAACCCAAUAUCCCUGCCAACAGUGCCAAAGCCUGCUAAACCAGCUGCCAUUACUCAACACAAGAAAAGGUUCACCUCCUGAAGAGCAUUCUGGAACCUGCCUGGAACAUUCAAGCAACACAACAUCCAUAUUUUGUAGUAUAAUAUAGAAUGCCUAGUAUGCUCACAACUACAUUGUGGUAUAGAUAUUGCUAGUUGUUGUACAUACAGCAUAUAUAAGUAUACUGUCAAGUGGGUAAAUGAUUCCAGCUGUAUCAGAAAAGUGUUGACUUCAACUUCUGGGUCAAUUAAUUGUGAUAUUCAUGAAAUGUAUUUGGAUAAACUAGCGAAUGUCUUACUGCACAAAACAUGUAUGCCUGGACUUGGUGUAUCAUUUAAACUUUAAUUUGUUGGCAAGUAAACAUGUUUCAAUAAA